rnacentral:rRNA from 1 species
UACGGGGGGGGGCAAGCGUUGUUCGGAAUUACUGGGCGUAAAGGGCUCGUAGGCGGCCAACUAAGUCAGACGUGAAAUCCCUCGGCUUAACCGGGGAACUGCGUCUGAUACUGGAUGGCUUGAGUUUGGGAGAGGGAUGCGGAAUUCCAGGUGUAGCGGUGAAAUGCGUAGAUAUCUGGAGGAACACCGGUGGCGAAGGCGGCAUCCUGGACCAACACUGACGCUGAGUGAGCGAAAGCCAGGGGGAGCAAAACGGGG